rnacentral:rRNA from 1 species
GGAAUGAGUUAAGUAUAAACCCCUUUACAAGUAUCAAUUGGAGGGCAAGUCUGGUGCCAGCAGCCGCGGUAAUUCCAGCUCCAAUAGCGUAUAUUAAAGUUGUUGCAGUUAAAAAGCUCGUAGUUGGAUUUCUGUUAAUAAUUUAUAUAUAAUAUUUUUAAUAUUUAUAUAAUAUUAACAUAAUUCAUAUUACUAUAAUUUUUAUUAGUAUAUGAAUU